GUGGGGAAUAUUGCACAAUGGGGGAAACCCUGAUGCAGCAACGCCGCGUGAGUGAUGAAGGUCUUCGGAUUGUAAAACUCUGUCUUUGGGGACGAUAAUGACGGUACCCAAGGAGGAAGCCACGGCUAACUACGUGCCAGCAGCCGCGGUAAUACGUAGGUGGCAAGCGUUGUCCGGAUUUACUGGGCGUAAAGGGAGCGUAGGCGGAUUUUUAAGUGGGAUGUGAAAUACCCGGGCUUAACCUGGGUGCUGCAUUCCAAACUGGAAGUCUAGAGUACAGGAGGGGAAAGUGGAAUUCCUAGUGUAGCGGUGAAAUGCGUAGAGAUUAGGAAGAACACCGGUGGCGAAGGCGACUUUCUGGACUGUAACUGACGCUGAGGCUCGAAAGCGUGGGGAGCAAACAGGAUUAGAAACCCCGGUAGUCC
rnacentral:rRNA from 1 species